rnacentral:misc_RNA from 1 species
GAUGAAGAACGUAGCGAAAUGCGAUAAGUAGUGUGAAUUGCAGAAUUCAGUGAAUCAUCGAAUCUUUGAACGCACCUUGCGCCCUUUGGCCAUUCCGAAGGGCAUGCCUGUUUGAGUAUCAUGAACACCUCAACUCUCAUGGCUCGCCAUGAUGAGCUUGGACUUUGGGGGUCUUGCUGGCCUGUGGUCGGCUCCUCUCAAAUGGAUCAGCUUGCCAGUGUUUGGUGGCAUCACAGGUGUGAUAACUAUCUGCGCUUGUGGUUUUCCAUCAGAUAACCUUCAGUGAUGGAGGUUCGCUGGAGCUCAUAAACGUCUCCCCUAAGCGGGGACAGCCCUUUGAAUGUUUGAUCUCAAAUCAGGUAGGACUACCCGCUGAACUUAAGCAUAUCAAUAAGCGGAGGA